rnacentral:rRNA from 1 species
UACGUAGGCAGCAAGCGUUGUUCGGAAUUACUGGGCGUAAAGAGUGUGUAGGCGGUUUUCUAAGUUCGGUGUGAAAUCUCCCGGCUCAACUGGGAGGGUGCGCCGAAUACUGAAUGACUUGGAGUGCGGGAGAGGAUAGUGGAAUUCCUGGUGUAGCGGUGAAAUGCGUAGAUAUCAGGAGGAACACCGGUGGUGUAGACGGCUAUCUGGACCGUAACUGACGCUGAGACACGAAAGCGUGGGUAGCAAACAGG